rnacentral:tRNA from 1 species
GGUAGAUCAGGGGAAGAUCGCUUGCUUCGCAAGCAAGAGGCCACGGGUUCAAAUCAUGGCUUGUCUCAACA